AGUGAACGCUGGCGGUAGGCCUAACACAUGCAAGUCGAACGGCAGCACAGUAAGAGCUUGCUCUUACGGGUGGCGAGUGGCGGACGGGUGAGGAAUACAUCGGAAUCUACUUUUUCGUGGGGGAUAACGUAGGGAAACUUACUCUAAUACCGCAUACGCCCUACGGGUGAAAGCAGUGGAUCUUCGGACCUUGCGCGAUUGAAUGAGCCGAUGUCGGAUUAGCUAGUUGGCGGGGUAAAGGCCCACCCAGGCGACGAUCCGUAGCUGGACUGAGAGGAUGAUCAGCGACACUAGAACUGAGACACGGUCAAGACUCCUAAGGGAGGCAGCAGUGGGGAAUAUUGGACAAUGGGCGCAAGCCUGAUCCAGCCAUACCGCGUGGGUGAAGAAGGCCUUCGGGUUGUAAAGCCCUUUUGUUGGGAAAGAAAAGCAGCAGGUUAAUACCCCGCUGUUCUGACGGUACCCAAAGAAUAAGCACCGGCUAACUUCGUG
rnacentral:rRNA from 1 species